rnacentral:rRNA from 1 species
CAAGGAGCUGCCUAGGGUAAAACUGGUAACUAGGGCUAAGUCGUAACAAGGUAGCCGUACCGGAAGGUGCGGCUGGAACACCUCCUUUCUAGAGACUAUA